AACAUCGCCUCCCGUUAAGCCAAAAAUAUAAGAGGUCCCGCCUGCCCUGUGACUAAAUGUUUAACGGCCGCGGUAUUUUGACCGUGCGAAGGUAGCGCAAUCACUUGUCUUUUAAAUGAAGACCUGUAUGAAUGGCAUAACGAGGGCUUGACUGUCUCCUCUUUCAAGUCAAUGAAAUUGAUCUCCUCGUGCAGAAGCGGGGUUAACCCCAUAAGACGAGAAGACCCUAUGGAGCUUUAGACACUAAGGCAGUUCACGAUUACACUCCUAAUAAAAAGGACAUAACUUGAAUGAAUCCUGCCCUAAUGUCUUUGGUUGGGGCGACCGCGGAGAAACAAAAAACCCCCGCAUGGACUGAAUGUAUGACGUUUAAAACCAAGAGCUACAGCUCUAAUUAACAGAAYCUCUGACUAAUUAGAUCCGGCAGCGCCGAUCAAUGAACCGAGUUACCCUAGGGAUAACAGCGCAAUCUCCUCUUAGAGUCCAUAUCGACGAGGGGGUUUACGACCUCGAUGUUGGAUCAGGACAUCCUAAUGGUGCAGCCGCUAUUAAGGGUUCGUUUGUUCAACGAUUAAAGUCCUACGUGAUCUG
rnacentral:rRNA from 1 species